rnacentral:tRNA from 1 species
CAAGACUUGUAUGCCUUUAGCAUACAUCAACUGACUGCAAAUCAGCCACUUUAAACUAAGCUAAAGCCUU